AAAAAGGGCUUCUGCCGUGCGUGGCACGAGGCGGCGGCGCCGCCCGCGGAAUCGGCAUCAAGAGAUUUCGGAAGCACAAUUUUUGUGUUGGGGGCCGCCGGUCACCGCCCGUGCCGGCGCCCCG